UACGAAGGGGGCUAGCGUUGUUCGGAUUUACUGGGCGUAAAGCGCCCGUAGGCGGAUCGUUAAGUCGGGGGUGAAAUCCUGGAGCUCAACUCCAGAACUGCCUUCGAUACUGGCGAUCUUGAGUCCGGAAGAGGUGAGUGGAACUCCUAGUGUAGAGGUGGAAUUCGUAGAUAUUAGGAAGAACACCAGUGGCGAAGGCGGCUCACUGGUCCGGUACUGACGCUGAGGUGCGAAAGCGUGGGGAGCAAACAGG
rnacentral:rRNA from 1 species